UACAGAGGUCUCAAGCGUUGUUCGGAUUCAUUGGGCGUAAAGGGUGCGUAGGCGGCGCGGUAAGUCGGGUGUGAAAUUUCGAGGCUUAACUUCGAAACUGCAUUCGAUACUGCCGUGCUUGAGGACUGGAGAGGAGACUGGAAUUUACGGUGUAGCGGUGAAAUGCGUAGAUAUAGGAAGGAAUACCAGUGGCGAAGGCGGCCUCCUGGAUCAACACUGACGCUGAGGUGCGAAAGCGUGGGGAGCAAACAGG
rnacentral:rRNA from 1 species